AUGAGCCUAGGUCGGAUUAGCUAGUUGGUGAGGUAAUGGCUCACCAAGGCGACGAUCCGUAACUGGUCUGAGAGGAUGAUCAGUCACACUGGAACUGAGACACGGUCCAGACUCCUACGGGAGGCAGCAGUGGGGAAUAUUGGACAAUGGGCGAAAGCCUGAUCCAGCCAUGCCGCGUGUGUGAAGAAGGUCUUCGGAUUGUAAAGCACUUUAAGUUGGGAGGAAGGGCAGUUACCUAAUACGUAAUUGUUUUGACGUUACCGACAGAAUAAGCACCGGCUAACUCUGUGCCAGCAGCCGCGGUAAUACAGAGGGUGCAAGCGUUAAUCGGAAUUACUGGGCGUAAAGCGCGCGUAGGUGGUUCGUUAAGUUGGAUGUGAAAUCCCCGGGCUCAACCUGGGAACUGCAUUCAAAACUGUCGAGCUAGAGUAUGGUAGAGGGUGGUGGAAUUUCCUGUGUAGCGGUGAAAUGCGUA
rnacentral:rRNA from 1 species